rnacentral:misc_RNA from 1 species
CCCAGAAGUUCGCUUCUUCUUGGGCUUCUUGAUAAGCCUCUCUUCGACUUCUUCUCUCCAGUUGUAGCCGGCUUUGCUUUCUCUUCUUUCAUGCCUUAGUUGCCUUCUCUCUCUAGCUGUUAGCUCAUGUAUCUGGUUAUUAGUGGAGUCGAGAGUUGCUGUGAUUGAUGAAGAGGCGCGUUUUGUUCUAAGGAUUGGGAGGGAAAUGGAGGGGAGCGAGGACGGAGAGAGAGCGUGAUGGCAAGGACUCCACAGAAGAAGCCCCUGCUUCAUCUUUCAGUGUUGAUGAAGUUGCUGUGAAUC